CUAGAAAGACGGGCUACGACCCCGCGAC
rnacentral:tRNA from 6 species